UUCGAUCGAGAAGCCGCCAUCUUCAUCAUAUUCGCCUGAGGCAUUCGAGAGCCGCGUUUGAAGAAGAAUUAGGAUUGACAUGGGGAAGCAACCGGUUCGGAUGAAGGCUGUGAUCUACGCUUUAUCGCCGUUCCAGCAGAAGAUCAUGACAGGGUUAUGGAACGACUUGACCGGCAAGAUUCACCAUAAGAUCUCCGAGAACUGGAUCAGUGCGGCCCUUCUGAUUACCCCCGUCGUCGGCACCUAUACGUACGCACAGCAGUACAAGGAGAAUGAAAAGUUGUCUCACAGGUACUGAGCGGCUGGUCCCUGGAUGUGCCAUCCAUCUACUUGAAGAACAUUUGAAGACUUUUUCGUUUUGAAAAUGGAGGUCUGGUUUCUUAGACUAUGAGGAUGUGCUUUUAUUUUGAGGAACAUUUUCUCGCUUG
rnacentral:misc_RNA from 1 species